UAUAUUCUUCUCUUUUUCUUUCUUUUUUCUUUUUGCUUUUUUUAAAAUGUCGACCCGAGGCGCCAGCAACGACACCGGAAACGUAUUGCCAAAGGAUAACUUGGCCUAAUUCUAUAACACACAUUGCAUAGAAACACGAUGAAUAAUUAAUUUUUUUAUUAUUAUUUCAUAAAUAUUUUCUAAUGAAUAACAAUUGAAAAUGAACGAUGUGGAGUUAUAAAUUAAAAGUAAAAUUAUUUAUUUCUCUUCGUUUUUCUUUCUCUCUUUUUUUUUUUCUUUUUUUAACUAUCAAAGCGCAGAAACACGCGUGCGAAAAAAAAAACAAAUAAUAAUAAUAAUAAUAAUAAUAAUAAUAAAAUUAAUGAAGAUAAUAAUAAAAUUGUAAAAAUAAAUCUUUCGAAUAAUAAUUUAGGAUCAUAAUUGCGUCGUGAAAUAUAUUUUCGUUUUAAUUCGAAAUUGUGAUUUUUCGUUGAAUCGAAAGGGAAAUUAUAUUUCCUUUCGAGAAGAAAGGAUAAGGGAAAAGAAAAAAAGAAAAGAAAAGAAUAGUUCAUAGAAGUCUGUCAUAGAAAAAAGUUUUUAUAUCGUUAGAAAAAUAUAUCUCGUGGUAACAAUUAACAAGGGAAGAGAAUUCUCUCGAACGGUAACAUAAAAUUGCAACGUUUACCAUUUAGGUAAAGAACUCGUGAAGUUUCUUCUACCGUCGUUGUUCUUCAGAAUUCUCCUCGAGGCUCAUUCGAAAAAGAUAGAAGAGGACGAAGCAGUUCGAGGGACGGCCAAGGCCAAGGCCAGUUAAAGGAAAAUCUACUUUUUCUUUAUCUUUUCAUGGAAAAGAGAAGAAAGUGGGAGGAGCAAAGGAGAAGCGAAAGUAUCGAGUUUGAAACGAUAUUCGAAAAGGCCGGAGGACUAUUAGUCAUAAGGACCACCGUGUGUGUGAGUGGAUUUCUCGUAUAUCGAUAUGCCAGUCCUAACUGGACUUUGGAAACACCUUAUCGUUAACGUGCCAGAAAGCUUUGGACCCUUAAAAUAAUAAUCCCUCGAGUUACUCAUUCAUGAUACGUGAUUGAACAUGAAAAUUCUUAUGAAAUCUGCACGAGAAAAGAAAAGAGAACGAUCUAAAAAAAUUCCAAGACGUUAUCGAAAACUACAACAACAAUUGAAAUAUCAUUGAUAUGAUUAUUUUUCGUAUGUGAAAGCAGUCUUGAAGAGAAUUCUUUGUUACAAGGACGGACAAAAUUGGAAAUCAGAGAAAUAUUUGAAGAUAUGGAAAGAAUUGGAAAUUAAAAAGAUUGCUGUUCAAGGGAUAUAAACUAUUAUUGGAUAUCAUAGGACUUCAUCAAACAAACUGGAACAAAAGGAUUCCAAUGAAUUUCGACCUGAUGUAUAUAAUUAUAAAGCAAUUAUUUUUAAAUGCAAUGUAACAAAGUAGAAUAAUCGAAUUGUGAACAAUAACGUAAUGUACAAACUAUAGGUUACAGAUUAUAUUACAUCACAUUACAUUACAUUAUAAUACAUUAAGUUAAAUUACACUAAAUUACAUUACAUACAUAUAUAUUUUAUUGUGAACAACAUAUUUUCUGUAUAUUAUAU